UACAAAGAUGUGUUCCUGAUGUUAUUUUGCGGUAAGGCCUCGAACGCUUGAACAGACGACAACCUCUCCAGGCAUGCCAAAUGAAACAAGAAUCCUAAUUCAAAGUUUGCAUCACGCUCACACUUAUCAGAGCACUGGAAGAGACGGCAUAUCAAGAUCAGCAACAUUUGCGAGCGUGACCAUGGCUUGAUAUUGCGAGUCACGCGUCAAAAAUGCGAAGAAACUGGAUUUGGUUCGAAUACUCAAGGAGAGGCAUGAUUUCCUCUGUUUGACAUUCUCCUUUAAAGAAAAAUGCAAUUAAUUUUUUCCCCUUUUCUUCCUUUCAUAGUUCACUGCUGCCUUCGAUUAACGAGAGCCGGGAGCCCACUGCCGAAAUGAGCUCUUGGCUGUAGUCAAUAUCCUUAAAAGCCCAUCAAUUGUAGGUUUAAACAUUAGUGCCACCAAAAAAGGGUCAUUGUACUUUUUUAGCGCCAUCCUUUAAGUCAUCAGAAAGUUGUAGGUUCAUGAUUAAUAGGAAAUGGAGACAAUUCGUCUGGGAGUGAAGCGUUUCUAUACACUUUAUUACCAAAGUAUGAUUUUAUUGGUUUAUUCAAAACUCGAAAUGACAGAAUAAUCACAAGAUGCUUUAGACAUAGAUGAACAUAGCUAUCACGUUUUCAAAAAAAUUCCUUACAACAUUCCGUUUCCCACUGAAUGAAAUUAAUAAGUCUUCGAAAGAAAACAAAGUAAAGUGGUUGUUUCAUACGAAGAACGGCAGACUCCUUGAUCUUUUAAAUAUCAACGCGCAUAAUCUGCGCUCAGUAUCACCUAUCUACUCAUAUGUUACCGUGACUGUUUUUUCUGUCUACGAAAAUCUAAAAAGCACGCUGUAUAAGUAUGUAGGUACCAAAAUUACCAAUAUCCCAGUCAAUCAGAUCACAGAAUGCAGAAGGAAACAAUAUUUCUUCUCAUUAAGAACUAGUUCUUGAGCGCAAAAACAUUAAGUUUUAAGCUGCGAUAUGCAGAAGGAACCGAGAAUCAAAACUGUCUCCUGAAAUCCUGAAGGUCAAGGAAAGCUAUCUACCUAAGUACUUCAACUUGAAUCGAAUCACUACCUAACGCCAGGGCGAAUCGAACUCUUGUAUAUUCUUUGUUUCCAACUAGAUGUAAAACUCAAGGACCACUACCAAAACUCAUCUACCAUUUCAUGAAGGAUAAAAUUCUCAGGAAUACAAGGCCUUCAACGAUAUCAGCUUUGAUAAAAAGUAGCAAUGCUCGCAAAAAUCUUAAUGGCUAACCCAAGAAAGUUGGAAAAAAAA